CAGACCCCGCGAUGCUUGUAUGUAAACUGUCUGCAAAGGCUCCUGUGAGGAAGUCUUGGACCCCAGGGCAGUGGUGUUCAGAGGUGGAGCUGUUAGAGAGCGACCGAUUGGAUUCUGAGAGCUCUGACGUCAUCCGCGAGUUACCUGCCCGUGGCUGUGGGUCUUCGGCGGUGUGUCCUUAGGCAACAUCACGCCUUAUUCUUGCCCCAGCAGUCACCUCCACCACACAGCUCUGCAGUCGCAAUAUCCUACUUCCUACCUUGCCUCAGACAUGAGCAGCAGAGCCAGCCAACCACGGACUGAAGCCACACGCCAGUCACUUGUUCCUAUGGAGCAUUUUGUCGCAGCAAUGGAAAGCUGAUGGACAGAGGGCGAGUCAGUAGAAAACGUAGGCACGGUGGCACACACCUACAAUUGCAUUCCUAGACAGAUGCCAACAGGAGGAUUGGGAGUUCAAGGCCAGGCUUAACUGCAGAGGAGUGUGAGGUCAUAUGAUACCGCGUCUCACAACAACAAACAAGUAAGCAACUUGUGUGUCUUGAGGCGAGAUAAAGCAAAUGGAUCAAACAGAAACAGAAAUGUGGAGAAUGUAAUUAUUGUUUCUGCAUCGAUUCCAUCCUGCGACAGUGAAGCAGAAACAGUCACAGAGUCCUGUCAGUGGCUGAGCGUGGUGUCCAGUCCUGGGUCCUGCUGCUGCUGCUGCUGCUGCUGCUGCUGGACCAAACGAGGAGAACAGGGCGAUCUCAGAGAUGAUCCUCGACGGGAUGUUGAUUUAUGACUCUUACGAUCUUUCCUGCUGUAAGAAACUGGCUGCCUGUAAUAAAAACCCAGACUUGGUU